rnacentral:misc_RNA from 1 species
GCAGAAAUGCUAAGAGAAAUCCAUCAGUUACGGAAGCACACUGCAAAAGAAACUUUGUUCAGUUUUGAGAGUAUCAGCUCUCACUUGUACGUUGAAAACUGAAUAUCUUAAUUCCAAGAAAAAACCGAGAAUCAUUGAGAUCAAUGAAAACAUUGCAAAGCGACCGAGAGAGUUCGAAAGAACAAACUUGCAAGGUCAAGUGAAGAAGGGCGCACGGUGAAUGCCUUGGCACUGGAAGCCGAUGAAGGACGCGACUAACCGCGAAAGUCUUCGGGGAGCCGUAAGUAGGCUUUGAUCCGGAGGUCUCCGAAUGGGGGAACCCAGCAUGUGCAGACAUGCUAUCCUUAAGUGAAUACAUAGCUUAAGGAAGGAACACGCAGUGAACUGAAACAUCUAAGUA